rnacentral:rRNA from 1 species
GACAGAGGGGGCGGGAGUUGUCCGGAGUCACUGGGCGUAAAGCGCGCGCAGGCGGCAACCUCAGUGUCGUGUGAAAGCCCCCGGCUCAACCGGGGGAGGCCAUGGCAAACUAGGUCGCUCGAGCUGCGGAGAGGCCCCUCGAAUUGCCGGUGUAGCGGUGAAAUGCGUAGAGAUCGGCAGGAAGACCAAGGGGGAAGGCAGGGGGCUGGCCGCAGGCUGACGCUGAGGCGCGACAGCGUGGGGAGCAAACCGG